UAGGGAAUCUUCCGCAAUGGGCGAAAGCCUGACGGAGCAACGCCGCGUGAGUGAUGAAGGUCUUCGGAUCGUAAAACUCUGUUAUUAGGGAAGAACAAAUGUGUAAGUAACUAUGCACGUCUUGACGGUACCUAAUCAGAAAGCCACGGCUAACUACGUGCCAGCAGCUGCGGUAAUACGUAGGUGGCAAGCGUUAUCCGGAAUUAUUGGGCGUAAAGCGCGCGUAGGCGGUUUUUUAAGUCUGAUGUGAAAGCCCACGGCUCAACCGUAGAGGGUCAUUGGAAACUGGAAAGCUUGAGUGCAGAAGAGGAAAGGGGAAUUCCAUGUGUAGCGGUGAAAUGCGCAGAGAUAUGGGGGAACACCAGUGGCGAAGGCGACUUUCUGGUCUGUAACUGACGCUGAUGUGCGAAAGCGUGGGGAUCAAACAGG
rnacentral:rRNA from 1 species